rnacentral:rRNA from 1 species
UACGGAAGGUGCAAGCGUUGUCCGGAUUGACUGGGUGUAAAGGGCGCGUAGGCGGAGAGGUGUGUCGGGAGUGAAAUCGUACGGCUUAAACGUACAAUGGCUUUCGAAACUACCUCCCUUGAGUACAGAAGGGGUUGAUGGAAUACCUGGUGUAGCGGUGGAAUGCGUAGAUAUCAGGUAGAACACCGGAGGCGAAGGCGGUCAACUGGUCUGUAACUGACGCUGAGGCGGGAAAGUGUGGGGAGCAAACAGG